CUCUCCACAAAGUUCUCUAUGAAAAUGAGAAUCUUGAUGAUGCUGCAUCGGCAAUCAACGACUAUUCUUUCCCUCUCUCUCUCUCUCCCUCUGUAUAGAUUAUUUGGAUUCCAUCCAGAUCUUCUUCAGGUUUUUGGCAGUCUUUAUCAAGACAUUAAUAGAUCCACAAGCUUCUAUUUCAACAAGUGAACAAGAGUCACAACAUCAAGAUCAGUAAGGUAAGAGAGAUCUACUUAAGGUAACUAAUAUAUAUGCCUUAUUUCUUAUGUUGCCAAUCCCACCUUGCAUUUCCAAAACAACACAAUAUAGUUUUGUUUUGUUAGAAACAAAAAAGGAUAUUAUAUAUGGAAGUUGAGAUAAUAUAUAUAACAGGUCUAUAUGGAACUAUUGUUGUCUAGCAAAGAAAAGGUUUUCAAGACACACUGUCAGUUCUUUGUUUUGUUGGUUGUUGUUGGCUAUUACAUUCAAAUUGAGAAUCAA
rnacentral:precursor_RNA from 1 species